GAUGAACGCUGGCGGCGUGCUUAACACAUGCGAGUCGAACGAAGCACUUUAUUUGAUUUCCUUCGGGACUGAUUAUUUUGUGACUGAGUGGCGGACGGGUGAGUAACGCGUGGGUAACCUGCCUUGUACAGGGGGAUAACAGUUGGAAACGGCUGCUAAUACCGCAUAAGCGCACGGCAUCGCAUGAUGCAGUGUGAAAAACUCCGGUGGUAUAAGAUGGACCCGCGUUGGAUUAGCUAGUUGGUGAGGUAACGGCCCACCAAGGCGACGAUCCAUAGCCGACCUGAGAGGGUGGCCGGCCACAUUGGGACUGAGACACGGCCCAAACUCCUACGGGAGGCAGCAGUGGGGAAUAUUGCACAAUGGGCGAAAGGCUGAUGCAGCGACGCCGCGUGAGCGAAGAAGUAUUUCGGUAUGUAAAGCUCUAUCAGCAGGGAAGAUAAUGACGGUACCUGACUAAGAAGCACCGGCUAAAUACGUG
rnacentral:rRNA from 1 species